AUUGAACGCUGGCGGCAUGCUUUACACAUGCAAGUCGAACGGUAACAGGCCGCAAGGUGCUGACGAGUGGCGAACGGGUGAGUAAUGCAUCGGAACGUGCCCAGUCGUGGGGGAUAACGCAGCGAAAGCUGCGCUAAUACCGCAUACGAUCUAUGGAUGAAAGCGGGGGACCGUAAGGCCUCGCGCGAUUGGAGCGGCCGAUGUCAGAUUAGGUAGUUGGUGGGGUAAAGGCUCACCAAGCCAACGAUCUGUAGCUGGUCUGAGAGGACGACCCGCCACACUGGGACUGGGACACGGCCCAGACUCCUACGGGAGGCAGCAGUGGGGAAUUUUGGACAAUGGGCGCAAGCCUGAUCCAGCAAUGCCGCGUGCAGGAAGAAGGCCUUCGGGUUGUAAACUGCUUUUGUACGGAACGAAACGGUCCUGGUUAAUACCCGGGGCUAAUGACGGUACCGUAAGAAUAAGCACCGGCUAACUACGUGCCAGCAGCCGCAGUAACAC
rnacentral:rRNA from 1 species